UAUAAUGGGUCAGCGACUUAUAUUCUGUAGCAAGGUUAACCGAAUAGGGGAGCCGCAGGGAAACCGAGUCUUAACUGGGCGUCUUAGUUGCAGGGUAUAGACCCGAAACCCGGUGAUCUAGCCAUGGGCAGGUUGAAGGUUGGGUAACACUAACUGGAGGACCGAACCGACUAAUGUUGAAAAAUUAGCGGAUGACUUGUGGCUGGGGGUGAAAGGCCAAUCAAACCGGGAGAUAGCUGGUUCUCCCCGAAAGCUAUUUAGGUAGCGCCUCGUGAAUUCAUCUCCGGGGGUAGAGCACUGUUUCGGCUAGGGGGUCAUCCCGACUUACCAACCCGAUGCAAACUGCGAAUACCGGAGAAUGUUAUCACGGGAGACACACGGCGGGUGCUAACGUUCGUCGUGAAGAGGGAAACAACCCAGACCGCCGGCUAAGGUCCCAAAGUCAUAAUUAAGUGGGAAACGAAGUGGGAAGGCUCAGACAGCCAGGAUGUUGGCUUAGAAGCAGCCAUCAUUUAAAGAAAGCGUAAUAGCUCACUGGUCGAGUCGGCCUGCGCGGAAGAUGUAACGGGGCUAAAUUAUGCA
rnacentral:rRNA from 1 species